rnacentral:rRNA from 1 species
UGCAAGUCGAGCGCACCUUCGGGUGAGCGGCGGACGGGUUAGUAACGCGUGGGAACAUACCCUUUGGUACGGAAUAGCCUCUGGAAACGGAGAGUAAUACCGUAUGAGCCCUUCGGGGGAAAGAUUUAUCGCCAAAGGAUUGGCCCGCGUUAGAUUAGGUAGUUGGUGGGGUAAUGGCCUACCAAGCCUACGAUCUAUAGCUGGUUUUAGAGGAUGAUCAGCAACACUGGGACUGAGACACGGCCCAGACUCCUACGGGAGGCAGCAGUGGGGAAUCUUGGACAAUGGGGGCAACCCUGAUCCAGCCAUGCCGCGUGAGUGAUGAAGGCCUUAGGGUCGUAAAGCUCUUUCGCCUGUGAAGAUAAUGACGGUAGCAGGUAAAGAAACCCCGGCUAACUCCGUGCCAGCAGCCGCGGUAAUACGGAGGGGGUUAGCGUUGUUCGGAAUUACUGGGCGUAAAGCGCACGUAGGCGGACUGGAAAGUUGGGGGUGAAAUCCCAGGGCUCAACCCUGGAACUGCCUCCAAAACUAUCAGUCUAGAGUUCGAGAGAGGUGAGUGGAAUUCCGAGUGUAGAGGUGAAAUUCGUAGAUAUUCGGAGGAACACCAGUGGCGAAGGCGGCUCACUGGCUCGAUACUGACGCUGAGGUGCGAAAGUGUGGGGAGCAAACAGGAUUAGAUACCCUGGUAGUCCACACCGUAAACGAUGAAUGCCAGUCGUCGGGUAGCAUGCUAUUC